UACGUAGGUGGCGAGCGUUGUCCGGAUUUACUGGGCGUAAAGGGCGUGCAGGCGGUUCGUUAAGUCUAGGGUGAAAGCUCCCGGCUCAACUGGGAGAGGUCCUUGGAUACUGGCGGACUUGAGGGGGGUAGAGGAGAGUGGAAUUCUCGGUGUAGUGGUGAUAUGCGUAGAUAUCGAGAGGAACACCAGUGGCGAAGGCGGCUCUCUGGGCCCUACCUGACGCUGAGACGCGAAAGCGUGGGGAGCGAACCGG
rnacentral:rRNA from 2 species